CUUGUUCCUCAGCCUUUAGGCUAAGAUCAAGUGUAGUAUCUGCUCUUAUCAGCUGAAUUUUUGACACUACUCUAUCAAAGGACAAAAUACUAAACGGAAUUUUGAAGCAGGGAGAUGAAAUGGGUGCUUGCUCUAUGUGCUCCUUGCAUCAACCUGGCAUGGCACAGUACAU
ensembl:snRNA U2 U2 spliceosomal RNA